ACCUUUUGUAUAAUGGGUCAGCGAGUUACUUUCAGUGGCGAGGUUAACUGAAUAAGGGAGCCGUAGAGAAAUCGAGUCUGAAUAGGGCGAUAGUCGCUGGGAGUAGACCCGAAACCGGGCGAUCUAGCCAUGUGCAGGAUGAAGGUUGGGUAACACCAACUGGAGGUCCGAACCGGGUAAUGUUGAAAAAUUAUCGGAUGACGUGUGGCUAGGAGUGAAAGGCUAAUCAAGCCCGGAGAUAGCUGGUUCUCCCCGAAAGCUAUUUAGGUAGCGCCUCGUGAAUGAUUACUGGGGGUAGAGCACUGUUUCGGCUAGGGGGCUGUCAUGGCUUACCAAACCGAUGCAAACUCCGAAUACCGGCUAAUUGGAUCACGGGAGACACACGGCGGGUGCUAACGUCCGUCGUGGAGAGGGAAACAACCCAGACCGCCAGCUAAGGUCCCCAAGUACUAGUUAAGUGGGAAACGAUGUGGGAAGGCAUAGACAGCCAGGAGGUUGGCUUAGAAGCAGCCACCCUUUAAAGAAAGCGUAAUAGCUCACUGGUCGAGUCGGCCUGCGCGGAAGAUGUAACGGGGCUAAAACUAGUCACCGAAGCUGCGGAUGUGCGCGAAGGCGCACGUGGUAGGGGAGCGUUCUGUAGGCUGAUGAAGGUGCAUUGAGAAGUGUGCUGGAGGUAUCAGAAGUGCGAAUGCUGACAUGAGUAACGAUAAUGUGGGUGAAAAGCCCACACGCCGGAAGUCCCAGGUUUCCUGCACGACGUUAAUCGGAGCAGGGUGAGUCGGCCCCUAAGGCGAGGCUGAAGAGCGUAGUCGAUGGGAACCAGGUUAAUAUUCCUGGACUUUUUAUAAGUGGUGAAGUGGGGACGAAGAAGGCUAGGUGAGCCAGGCGUUGGUUGUCCUGGUACUUGCAUGUAGGGGGGAAGACUUGGCAAAUCCGGUUUUCCAUAACUCUGAGGUGCGAAGUGGUUCUGACCUAUUGGUACAGAGAAGUCAUUGAUGCCCGGCUUCCAGGAAAAGCUGCUAGCCAUAACUUAUAGAGAACCGUACCGCAAACCGACACAGGUGGACAGGUAGAGAAUACUAAGGCGCUUGAGAGAACUCGGGUGAAGGAACUAGGCAAAAUGGUACCGUAACUUCGGGAGAAGGUACGCCCUUUUGGGUGAGGGCAUUUACUGUCUGAGCUUAAGAGGGCCGCAGAGACCAGGUGGCUGCGACUGUUUAUUAAAAACACAGCACUCUGCAAAUUCGUAAGAAGACGUAUAGGGUGUGACGCCUGCCCGGUGCCGGAAGGUUAAUUGAUGGGGUUAUCUUCGGAGAAGCUCUUGAUCGAAGCCCCGGUAAACGGCGGCCGUAACUAUAACGGUCCUAAGGUAGCGAAAUUCCUUGUCGGGUAAGUUCCGACCUGCACGAAUGGCGUAACGAUGGCCACACUGUCUCCACCCGAGACUCAGUGAAAUUGAAAUCGCUGUGAAGAUGCAGUGUACCCGCGGCUAGACGGAAAGACCCCGUGAACCUUUACUAUAGUUUUGCACUGGACUUUGAUGAUGACUGUGUAGGAUAGGUGGGAGGCUGUGAAGUGAGGACGCUAGUUCUCAUGGAGCCGCCCUUGAAAUACCACCCUGUUGUUAUUGAGGUUCUAACUUGGUCCAGUAAUCCUGGAUGAGGACAGUGUAUGAUGGGUAGUUUGACUGGGGCGGUCUCCUCCCAAAGAGUAACGGAGGAGCACAAAGGUACCCUCGGUACGGUCGGACAUCGUACCAAGAGUGUAAAGGCAAAAGGGUGCUUGACUGCGAGAGUGACGGCUCGAGCAGGAACGAAAGUUGGUCUUAGUGAUCCGGUGGUUCUGAAUGGAAGGGCCAUCGCUCAACGGAUAAAAGGUACUCCGGGGAUAACAGGCUGAUACCGCCCAAGAGUUCAUAUCGACGGCGGUGUUUGGCACCUCGAUGUCGGCUCAUCACAUCCUGGGGCUGAAGCAGGUCCCAAGGGUAUGGCUGUUCGCCAUUUAAAGUGGUACGCGAGCUGGGUUUAGAACGUCGUGAGACAGUUCGGUCCCUAUCUGCCGUGGGCGUAGGAAAAUUGAGAGGAGCUGCUCCUAGUACGAGAGGACCGGAGUGGACGAACCUCUGGUGCACCGGUUGUCACGCCAGUGGCAUGGCCGGGUAGCUAAGUUCGGACGGGAUAACCGCUGAAAGCAUCUAAGCGGGAAGCCUCCCUCAAGAUGAGUUUUCCCAUGAAGCCCGUUGAAGACUACGACGUUGAUAGGCAAGGUGUGGAAGCGCAGUAAUGCGUGAAGCUAACUUGUACUAAUUGGCUGAUUGUCUUGACCA
rnacentral:rRNA from 1 species